GCCAGGCAUGGUGAUGCAUGCCUGUAAUCCCAGCUACUCAGGAGGCUGAGGCAGGAGAAUCACUUGAACCCAGGAGGCGGAGGUUGCAGUGAGCCAAAAUUGAGUCACUUCACUCUAGCCUGGGUGACAGAGUGAGACUCUGUCUUAA
rnacentral:SRP_RNA from 2 species